GAAAUUUAAACGUGCCGAGACUUUCUCACGAGGUAGUCUCGGCACGUCUAUCAAGGGAUGCCGUGCCCAAAUUUCGAAAAAACUAAAAAAUGUGUUCGACAUCGAGCAUGCGCAAAACAAAUUGUCCUCUUUCCAACAUGGCAGCAAGCGGCGAAAAACUACAACUUGCCAAAAAUUAAAAAAAAAACAAAGUUAAAAAACAAAUUUAACACAGAAUGUGAAUGUUGCUCUAGUUGACUCGGAAAUUUUGA